UACAGAGGAGCCAAGCGUUGUCCGGAUUGACUGGGCGUAAAGCGCACGCAGGCGGAUGCGCGCGUGGGGGGUGAAAUCUGGCCGCUUAACGGCCAGGCGCCAUCCCAUACGGCGCGUCUGGAGUGAUGCAGAGGUCGAUGGAAUUGCCGGUGUAGUGGUGAAAUGCGUAGAGAUCGGCAGGAACACCCAGGGGGAAACCAGUCGACUGGGCAUCUACUGACGCUGAGGUGCGAGAGCGUGGGGAGCGAACAGG
rnacentral:rRNA from 1 species